rnacentral:rRNA from 1 species
UGAGGAAUCUUGCGCAAUGGCCGAAAGGCUGACGCAGCGACGCCGUGUGGAGGAAGAAGGCCCUUGGGUUGUAAACUCCUGUCAGCAGGGAAGAAGAAAGUGACUGUACCUACAGAGGAAGCCCCGGCUAACUACGUGCCAGCAGCCGCGGUAAGACGUAGGGGGCAAGCGUUGUUCGGAAUUAUUGGGCGUAAAGAGCUUGUAGGCGGGAAAGUAAGUCUUUGAAUAAAGGCUAAGGCUCAACUUUAGUAAGUUCGGAGAUACUGCUUUUCUUGAGAACAGGAGAGGGGAGUGGAAUUCCUAGUGUAGCGGUGAAAUGCGUAGAUAUUAGGAGGAACACCAGUGGCGAAGGCGGCUCUCUGGCCUGUUUCUGACGCUGAGGAGCGAAAGCUGGGGGAGCGAACGGG